AGCGGCCAAGGCAGACGCGGAGACAGACGGCCCUCGGCUCGUGGGGCGGGGCCGGGCGGGCGGUGCCGACGGCGGGGGCCUCGCGUGGCCGCGUCGCGCAGGGCCCGGGCUGUCCCGGGCUGCGCCGUCCUCCGCGCCGGAGCCGAAUCCUCGCAGGCGCCCCGUUUCCGGGACUAGGGAGGAAGACUGGGCGGCCGCAGGUCUGGUGCGUGGGGCGCAGAGGGCCGAGGCGAUCAGGCGCGCCGGGCACCCAAAGUGGGCGGAGCCAGCUCCGGGUCCUUCCGGGACCCCGCCCGGAGGCGGAGGCGGAGGCGGAGGCGGAGGCGGAGGCGGAGGCGGAGGCUGCCGGGUGGUGUGGCUUUGGAGAGCUGUGUGCUGUCCCGGAGAGCGCUCAGCGAGGACAGAGGACCCAAGACUUCGAUUUGUUCAGUCUUGGGGCAAAAUUUGCUGUGCCAGCUCUGUCUUCUUUCUGCUGAAAUUGCCCAAGAAAGCUGGAGCCGGUGGCUAGGCUGCUGCCUUGUCUCUGUAGGAAGAGGAAUGAUCUGUUUAACACAGUAUGUCUUUCUUACCUACUGAGAUGCCUGAGCCUCCCUUCAAAGGGUAAGGUCUUUCUAUAAUGAGAGUGAAGGCUGCAUAAUCUUGGACCAUGUGAUAUUAGUAGGCUUCACUGAUCCACGAUCUUCCUGAAAGCGGAGGUAGGAGGAUGAAGUUGGAAUUGUGAUGGGGAAGAAAACUUCAAAAACAGUGGGAAAGAAUGAAACAUUUUGCCUAAUACGGUCAGAGUGUUUGAACAGGACCCUUCACUCUCGUUCAGAUUCUGUUUCACCUUCUGUCAAGUCUCUAAUACUUCUUCAUCAUCCAUUUUCUUAUCUGUGAACUGUCCUGCUACUUCUCAGGGUAUUUGUGAGGAUCACUUGAGAUUAUAUUUUGAAGCUAUUAAGUGUUGUUGUUACCCGUUCUGUGUUUUCCGUGUCUGCUCACCAGCUGUGCCGCAUUAGUUUCUUAGGAAUGCCAUAACGAAGUGCAACACACGGGGUGGCUUGAAACAAGAGAAACACAUUCUCUCGUAGUUCUGGAGGCUGGAAGUCCGGGUUAAGGUGUCAGCAAGGUCAUGCUCUUGGAAGGCUCUAGGGGAGGAUCCAUCCUUGCCUCUCUCUAGCGUCUGGUGGUGGCUGGCAGUCCUUGGUGUUCCUUGGUUUGUAGAUGGGUCACUACAAUCUCUGUCUCUGUCGGCACCUGGACUUCUUGCCUGUGCCUCUGUGUUUUCAUAUGACGUUCUCUUCCCUGUGUUUUCACAUCAUUUUCCUUCUUUGCAUGUCUCUCUGUCCAGAUUUCCCUCUUAUAAGAAUACCAGACGUUAGCUUAGGGCCCAAAUCCUAACCCUCUAUGAUCUCAUCUUAACUUGAUUAUAUCUGCAAAGACCCUAAUUCCAAAUAAGAUUGCAUUUUGAGGUUCCCAGUGGACAAGAAUUUUGGGGGGAUACUGUGCAACUCAGCAUACCAGCUAAAUGUUGGUGUUCUCCAUGGUUCUGCCCCCAGACCUCUUCUCUUCUUACUGUGUACCCUCUCCUUUGACAAUCUCUUUCACUCCAAUAUGGAUGGCUAGAGCUAAUUGUUGAAUUCUGUUUGCUGUAUAUAAUCCCAUGUAUUCCUCACAGUAACUUCAUGAGUUAAGCUGUAGUAUCUCCAUUUUGAAAAUGAUGCUGAGGCCAAGAGAGGUUAAAUCGUGUGCUUGGGCCUCUCAUCUAUAAGUGGCAGAGCAGGAAUUCUAUCCAAGACAGUCUGACUCCAGAGCCAGAACUGCACUGCACAAUUAUAAAGUAGUUAUGCCUAAAAUAAUGAUGUUUUAUCAUAGAGUUUUACAAUCUUAGUAUAUGAAGUGACCUAAGAGGUUUUCAAGUCUAAACUCCAACCUAAUACAAGACUUUCCUGUCCACCUCUGAUGAGAGUUGUCUCUCCAAGUGGUUCCAGUGAUGAACAGAGGGCUCAUGACUACCUGGAAUCUACAAGAUACUGAAAAUGUGUUUGCUAAUACAAUUAGAGGUUAAAAACACAAAAAAGGAAAACGCUGUAAGGAUAAGAAUCAUUUGAAAGAAUCCCAGCUUUUCCAGCAGGUUGGCAUAUGGACCUGCGUUUGAGUCCUACAUCUGUUAGCUGACUAACCUCAGGCAACUCCAUUAAACUCUCUGGGCCUCAGUUCCCUCAUUUGUAAAAUGAGGAAAAUGUACACACACUAAUAAUCUAAACUAGGUUGAACUAGAAUCUGCAUCCCUUUAGCUAACACCUCCUAUUCUCUCUCACUCUCCCUACUUUUUUUUGGUCCAAGCUAAGCAUUCCCAAUCUUCUAAUUGUUUCUCUUUUUCAUGGUUUUCAGGCCACUUAUGAAUCAUUUACCCACUUCUGGAAUUUUUCUGUUUUGUUAAUGUGCCCCAUAAAUUACACAAUACCCGAGCUAUGUCUGAAAUGCUCAUAGUAUGACAGGGUUCAAUUCUCUUGCUCCAGCUGCUGUGUUUUAUUAAUACAUAGCAGUGGGUUUGUUUGUUUUAUUUUUAGUCACAUCAUACUAUUGAUUCAGUAUGCAAAUAAAAAUCCAAGGUGUACCUAAAUUUAGAGCUUU
rnacentral:lncRNA from 1 species